rnacentral:rRNA from 1 species
CCUACGGGAGGCAGCAGUGAGGAAUAUUGGUCAAUGGGCGCGAGCCUGAACCAGCCAAGUAGCGUGAAGGAUGACUGCCCUACGGGUUGUAAACUUCUUUUAUAAAGGAAUAAAGUGAGGCACGUGUGCCUUUUUGUAUGUACUUUAUGAAUAAGGAUCGGCUAACUCCGUGCCAGCAGCCGCGGUAAUACGGAGGAUCCGAGCGUUAUCCGGAUUUAUUGGGUUUAAAGGGAGCGUAGAGGGGUUGUUAAGUCAGUUGUGAAAGUUUGCGGCUGAACCGUAAAAUGGCCAUUGAUACUGGCUGCCUUGAGAAGAGUAGAGGUAGGCGGAAUUCGUGGUGUAGCGGUGAAAUGCUUAGAGA